CUCUGUGUGGCAGAGAGGUUAUGCGGCAGCCUGUAGAGCUGUUUUAUGGGGGUUCGAAUCCCUUCGCAGAGA
rnacentral:tRNA from 1 species